rnacentral:antisense_RNA from 1 species
AUUAAUAUUGAUUUACAAUUUAAUCUUUGGUUUGUAUCCCCCUUUAACUUAAAACCUUGAAAAAAAUAUUAAAAAGCAAUAACGUUCAAUUUAAGAAUUGGGAAUGCUUAAAAUUCACAAAAAUGAAUAUUUUACAUAUAAAAAUGAAAAAAAAGAGAGAAAAAUAAAAAAUAGCAAAAAAAUGUGUUGGCCUUUGUUUUUUUUUAUUUUGCAGAGGCAAAGAGAAAUUUUCUGCAAUUAGUUGACCCUCGAAGAGGGUUAAUUAACUCUUCCAAAGCAACUGAAUCGUUAAAUAAUUGUGGAGACCAAAAUUUCAAAGCUUCAAGUUUCCUCUCAAUGGAAAAGAGCGCAAGCAAAUAACAGCAAAUUAGUGCUUAUAUUGCUCCAAAACUUGAAUAUUAAAAUAUAUAAUAUUUUCAAAAGCAUUAUAAUAAUCGGGAUGACGUAAUGAAUAUAGAAAUAUGUACAUAAAUUAUUUAUCUCAAAAGCUUAAAAACUAUUAAUUUGAUUUGGAUGAGGAAGAAGUAUUCGAAGUUAAGAUUAAACUGGAUAUAAAAGGUUAUCAUUAUUACCAAAAGAGUAUUGCAGUAAUAAUUAAUGUCUAUCAAAACGACAGACGGUUUUUGAGAAGUUAAUGAACUUUGUUAAAUUGAAAUUAAAGGACAUCCAAUGUCAAAGUUGUCCAUUUCUAGCUCGCUCGAAUUAAGCAUUUCUAUAGAAUUUAAGCCCUGAGUAAGGAAUCCAUUGAGACAAGAAGAAUCCAUAUAUUCAUCAUAAUUGGAAGAGAUAUUUGGUUGUGAAUACAGGUAAAAUGAUGUUGGGCUAUCACAUGUAAUAAUUCCAGAAUUUUGGGAGCUUUCAGUAUCCAGGGAAGAGCUAAUAAUUAAAGAAGAAUCAAAGGGUGAUCCAAAUGCUGAACAAAUUGGAAUAUUCUGGUCAUGUGAUUCAGUUGAAGAAAUAAAAUGGAUUGAAUCUUGGUGAUGGUUAUGAUAAUUAUGACUAUGAUGAGAUGUCUCGAAUUCACCAAGGUGAGCAAUCUCCGAUUCUGGUUGGUAAAAGGGGGUAACUUCAGUGUUAAUUGUUGAGGUACAGUAAAUCUCAUCAAUAUCUCCGCAGACAAAUAUACUCGAGCCAUUAUUUAUUCCAGGCUGAGUUGAGCUGGAAUAAGAAUAAGUUGCCUGUGUUGGAGGCUCACUUCUAAUAUCUGCCAAAGCAUUCUUCUUUUUGGACCUAAUCUUUUGUCUUUUUGCUGGCUUUUGUAGAACACUAUCUGAGCCGCUAUUCAUAGAAAUCAUCGAAUCCAAAGGUUCAUGUUCUUCGUGUUUCUUAUGGUACGAAGGAGGAGGAUGGUGAGGAGCUCGGCCUCCAUUUUGAAUGUGGUUAUUUAUAUUGUUAUAAUGGCCAAUAUUAUGGUGAAGUUGCUGCUGAUGAUCAGGAAAAUGGCUGGUACAAACAUCACUUUGUGUACUAAAUCCUGAAACAGAUGAGUUUCCAUUCAUAUUAUUAUUGGAUACAUUACCUUGAAUUAUGUUAUAAUUAAUUAGGUUCUGGUUAUUCAUAAAGUUAGAGAGCUCUGGAUUCAAGGAAGAUAUAUCUUUUGGGUCUCCUGAUUGUAUUGGAGAGUUUGUAACGGGAAUAGGGGGAGGUGAGAAAUUAUAACUUGACUUUGCAGAUCCUCUUCUUUUUCUUUGUGAGGCUGGUGAACCACUUGUAGUGGAGAAUAUUGAAAUUGGUGAAGUAAUAUCAUGUUCAAUCUUGUUUAAUGGUGUAUUAGAAAUCAAGCUCGAAUCCUUUGAAUAAAGACUUUUACUGGAGGAAUAUGAUCGAUGACUACACGGGGAUGUUUCUGGUGUGUAAGUAUCUAAAUCAGUCUCAAGUUUUCCUAAUACUUUUGAAGAAUCAUCCAAAAGACCUUGUCCUCUUGGAAUAACUCCUCCAUUUGUAUUGCCGAUAGAAGAAUGCGAUUCAAAUUUUUCAGAAAUACCUCCUUGUACUGCAGCUCCUCCACCGAGUCCAUUGUUAUGUUGUUGAGAAUCUAAUACUCUUCUGGAUGAUAUAUUUGAGUGCGAUUGUUGUUGCAUCAUAUUUGAAUUUGAAUUUACAGAGGAGAGUUGGACACUUUUGGAAGAAUCUCUAUGUCUUGGCCUUCCAAAUUCACAAUGUAUGCUCAGAGCAUAGUCAAAUACAUCGCAUACAUAAGAGAUUUUGAAAAGUUGUUGGACACUUGCGAAUCUAAUUCUUGUAUAAGAAAGUCCAUGGUCAGUAAGAGCUUUCUCCAUUUUCGUUGGGUUUUGAGUAUGUAUUUCACGCAAUUUCUUAAGAAGCAUUUUUCUUCCAAGGUCUCCGAGAGGUAGCUUAAAUCCUUCAUAAUACUUAACAGAAUUAAGGUCUUCAGAAACAUUUGAAGAUGAGCCAAAAGAACAACUUUCUCCUGAUGAAUUUGAAGAGUAGCCAGACUUUGAAUGAACUGACGGUCCGCUUGAAGAAUUUCCAAAAUCAUCCGAACUUUCUCGCACUUUUCUGGUACGAGUCUUGCUAGGAGUCUUAGUUAAUGAGUUAUUUGUAACUCCUGCUCCAAUUCCGCCAAUACCCAUAACAGAUCUGGUAAUUCCAGAUAAACUAUUUUGAGUACAGUUACCAAUUCUAUUGGAUGAGUUACUACCAACAUUGAUAUUGUUGUUACUAUUAUUACUAUAUGGACGUUUACGUUUAGUAAAUUCCUUUUCAGUUGUGGAAAUCUUUUCAGUAUCAUUAAAUUGAUAUCCAGUAUUAUAUAUUGAGUUAUCUCUAAUAUUAUUUCCAGAGUUUGUUAACCCAGAUUGUAAUCCAUAAUGCUGAGACUCACCAACAAUUGAAGAAUGGCUGUUAUUUAAGUUAAAGUUACUUCCACCAGCACCACCGGCACUAUUAGUAUGUUGGUGUUGUGAAAAAUGUUUCUGACCUACAUUUUUUGAAUUAGAUCCGUCAGAGCCUACCAAAAACUGUGAAAGAGGCGAACAAAUUGGUCUGGAGAAUUCUCUUUGCUCCAAUGAAACACUAUUACCAUUAUUUGAUGAAUCUGGCGACGUUAUCAAUAGCUCAUCAUCCAAUAAUGAUGAACUUGAAAUAUUCAUUCCAUCCACUAUUUGGAAGCUGCUAAUUUGGUCCCAAUCAUAUCCUUCUUCCAUAUUAUUUACUAUUCAACUCGUUAAGUUUUUUACCUUUCUUUCAC